AGGUACUUAGGAUAGAACUAGACCAGGAGCCUUCAAAGCCCCCAGCGGAAGUGAAAACCUUCCAGUUCCUG
rnacentral:tRNA from 1 species